CUUUACUCUAGCUUGGCACUGAGUCGUACAUAUAUUUGUGCAGGAUAGGUGGGAGACUAUGAAAGAUGGACGCCAGUUCAUCUCGAGUCGUCGUUGAGAUACCAUCCUUGUAUAUGUAUGCCUCUAACCCCUUUUUGGGGGACCGUGCUUGGUGGGGAGUUUAACUGGGGCGGUUGCCUCCUAAAACGUAACGGAGGCGCACAAAGGUAGGCUAGGUCCGGAUGGAAAUCGGACUGGUCGUGUAUUCGCACAAGCCUGCUUGACUGAGAGACCUACAAGUCGAUCAGAGACGAAAGUCGGUGAAAGUGAUCCGGCACCAACAUGUGGGAGUGGUGUCGCUCAACGGAUAAAAGUUA
rnacentral:rRNA from 1 species